UUGACCUCGGAUCAGGUAGGGAUACCCGCUGAACUUAAGCAUAUCAAUAAGCGGAGGAAAAGAAACCAACAGGGAUUGCCUCAGUAACGGCGAGUGAAGCGGCAACAGCUCAAAUUUGAAAUCUGGCCUUCGGGUCCGAGUUGUAAUUUGCAGAGGAUGCUUUUGACGAGGUGGCGACCGAGUGCCCUGGAACGGGCCGCCGUAGAGGGUGAGAGCCCCGUAUGGUCGCACUGCCGAGUCUCUGUAAAGCUCCUUCAACGAGUCGAGUAGUUUGGGAAUGCUGCUCUAAAUGGGAGGUGUAUGUCUUCUAAAGCUAAAUACCGGCCAGUGACCGAUAGCGCACAAGUAGAGUGAUCGAAAGGUGAAAAGAACUUUGAAAAGAGAGUUAAAAAGUACGUGAAAUUGUCAAAAGGGAAGCAUUUAUGACCAGACUUGGGCGUGGUUGAUCAUCCGGCGUUCUCGCCGGUGCACUCUGCCCGCCUAGGCCAGCAUCAGUUCGCCUCGGGGGAGAAAGGCUUCGGGAAUGUAGCUCCUUCGGGAGUGUUAUAGCCCGUUGCGUAAUGCCCUGGGGUGGACUGAGGUCCGCGCUCGCGCUUGGAUGUUGGCAUAAUGGUCAUCAAUGACCCGUCUUGAAACACGGACCAAGGAGUCGUCUUCGUAUGCGAGUGUUCGGGUGUCAAACCCCUACGCGAAAUGAAAGUGAACGCAGGUGGGAGCUUCGGCGCACCACCGACCGAUCCUGAUGUUCUCGGAUGGAUUUGAGUAAGAGCAUACGGGGCCGGACCCGAAAGAAGGUGAACUAUGCCUGUGUAGGGUGAAGCCAGAGGAAACUCUGGUGGAGGCUCGCAGCGGUUCUGACGUGCAAAUCGAUCGUCAAACAUGGGCAU
rnacentral:rRNA from 1 species